rnacentral:rRNA from 1 species
AGCGCAGGCGGGAAGACAAGUUGGAAGUGAAAACCAUGGGCUCAACCCCAUGAAUUGCUUUCAAAACUGUUUUUCUUGAGUAGUGCAGAGGUAGAUGGAAUUCCCGGUGUAGCGGUGGAAUGCGUAGAUAUCGGGAGGAACACCAGUGGCGAAGGCGGGUCUACUGGGCACCAACUGACGCUGAGGCUCGAAAGCAUGGGUAGCAAACA